AAGCGGCGGGGAGGAGUGUCGGGCGGAGUUUCCGGCUGAGAGUCUUUCUAGCGGGGCCGGCUGGAGUGCAGUGGCACGACCUUGGCUCACUGCAGUGUCUACCUCACAGGUUUAAGCGAUUCUUCUGCCUCAGCCUCCCAAGUAGCUGGGAUUACAGAUUAUUGAAUAAUAAAUACAGUUUUGAAAAAAUGGAUGAAGAACCUGAAAGAACUAAGCGAUGGGAAGGAGGCUAUGAAAGAACAUGGGAGAUUCUUAAAGAAGAUGAAUCUGGAUCACUUAAAGCUACAAUAGAAGACAUUCUAUUCAAGGCAAAGAGAAAAAGAGUAUUUGAGCACCAUGGACAAGUUCGACUUGGAAUGAUGCGCCACCUUUAUGUGGUAGUAGAUGGAUCAAGAACAAUGGAAGACCAAGAUUUAAAGCCUAAUAGAUUGACGUGUACUUUAAAGUUGUUGGAAUACUUUGUAGAGGAAUAUUUUGAUCAAAAUCCUAUUAGUCAGAUUGGAAUAAUUGUAACCAAGAGUAAAAGAGCUGAAAAAUUGACUGAACUCUCAGGAAACCCAAGAAAGCAUAUAACGUCUUUGAAGAAAGCUGUGGAUAUGACCUGCCAUGGAGAGCCAUCUCUUUAUAAUUCCCUAAGCAUGGCUAUGCAAACUCUAAAACACAUGCCCGGACAUACAAGUCGAGAAGUACUAAUCAUCUUUAGCAGCCUUACAACUUGCGAUCCAUCUAAUAUUUAUGAUCUAAUCAAGACCCUAAAGGCAGCUAAAAUUAGAGUAUCUGUUAUUGGAUUGUCUGCAGAAGUUCGCGUUUGCACUGUACUUGCUCGUGAAACUGGUGGCACAUACCAUGUUAUUUUAGAUGAAAGCCAUUACAAAGAGUUGCUCACACAUCAUGUUAGUCCUCCUCCUGCUAGCUCAAGUUCUGAAUGCUCACUUAUUCGUAUGGGAUUUCCUCAGCACACCAUUGCUUCUUUAUCUGACCAGGAUGCAAAACCCUCUUUCAGCAUGGCGCAUUUGGAUGGCAAUACCGAGCCAGGGCUUACAUUAGGAGGCUAUUUCUGCCCACAGUGUCGGGCAAAGUACUGUGAGCUACCUGUUGAAUGUAAAAUCUGUGGUCUUACUUUGGUGUCUGCUCCCCACUUGGCACGGUCUUACCAUCAUUUGUUUCCUUUGGAUGCUUUUCAAGAAAUUCUCCUAGAAGAACAUAAUGGAGAAAGAUUUUGUUAUGGAUGUCAGGGGGAAUUGAAAGACCAACAUGUUUAUGUUUGUGCUGUGUGCCAAAAUGUUUUCUGUGUGGACUGUGAUGUUUUUGUUCAUGAUUCUCUACACUGUUGCCCUGGCUGUAUUCAUAAGAUUCCAGCUUCUUCAGGUGUUUGAUUCCAGCAUGUAGUAUGCAUUGUAUGUGUUAAAAAGAAAUUUGCAACUGUGAAUAAAAUGACUUCUUUAGAAGAAGCUUCAUUUAAAACAUGAAAGGAUAAUCUGACUUAAGAAACUUUUUGCUAAGAAAAGUGGCCGGGCUUCAUGACAAGCUGUGACGAGAUACAGGAGCCUCCCAGCAAGUGUGUUCACUUAGAGUGUGGUGCUUCUCCAGAAGGUUUAUAAGGAGAAACUGUCCCUCUGAGCAGUCCAUUGAAGAGAGGAAGGAGAAGUAACUUACUUUCCUAAGUUCUUCCAUUUCCCAUUGAUCCUAGUUUGCCCACAGGGCUGUGUCAUCUCGUCCUUUGGUAACUGCUCAGGAAGCCAGAUCUCGUGCUCAGUGGUGUGGCAUUGCAUCCGCUUCUAGAAGGAUUUCUCAAUACUUUAUAACUUCCUCAUGUUUGUGGUCAUGUCUGUGUUCAGCUUUAUCUCUAGAAUAGUUGGCAAAUUCAUAGCAUGAAAUGAUUUCAUGAGUGGUGACAAAGAAAGGGUGCAAUCAGCCCUUGGGGAGUGGGUUAGCGGAAUCCCAGUACUGAGGCCAUUAAUGGGUGGCAGAGUUUAGGAGAAAAGGUAAGAAGUUUCAGUCCUCAGGCCCUGUAGUAAGGAGAAAAAGGGUACAGGAGGUUGUCACACUGCUGAGAAGUAGUAUUAGAGUCCCCUAGUAUCCGCUUUGGAUCCAGUUCUGUAAGGGCAGAGGAUUCAUUAUUUCCAGGUAAUCUAAGUCUGUUCGGGGGAGAAGUAUUACAAGAUGGACUGGGGACUCGGCUGGGAUCCUGAUGGGAUCUAAAUUAUUGAUUUCACCUGACUGAAUUGCUAUUUGCAUCACACCUCAGGACUCUGGAAACAAUACACAAUUUGCCCAUUCAUUAAUUCAUUAAUUCACUCAACAAACUUGUACAUCUGCCAUGAGUCUGACACAGUCCUAGUUAUCAGGGAUGUAGAUAGUCAAAAGAAGAUGUAAACCUAACCUCAUGCAUCUGUGAAUCUCCCCAUCUAAAAAGACACAGCCUUGUAAAGAAGCUUGUGUGAAAGUGCUAAGGACAUGCCAAGUGUUACGGGGAUGCAGGAGAGGUGCGGUAAAAUGGAUUGGGAGGCAGCUCAGAUGUCUAAAGGGGUCAGGCAGACAAUGCAGAUAAGUGAAAGGUGGCCAGCUGAUGCAGAGUGGGGACAUCUGGAAAGCACCCAUCCCAUCUAAAGGAGGCAGCCUCUGAGAGGCUGGGGAUCAGGGAUAGAAGGGAGAUAUACUUUUCACUGUACAUCCUUUUGUAUCUUUUAAAUUUUGUUACUUAAUUCAAAAAAAUAAAAAAGUUUUUAAAGUGAGGUAACCAUUA